CCUACGGGUGGCUGCAGUGAGGAAUAUUGGUCAAUGGACGAGAGUCUGAACCAGCCAAGUAGCGUGAAGGAUGGCUGCCCUAUGGGUUGUAAACUUCUUUUAUAUGGGAAUAAAAUGUUCCACGUGUGGGAUUUUGUAUGUACCAUAUGAAUAAGGAUCGGCUAACUCCGUGCCAGCAGCCGCGGUAAUACGGAGUAUCCGAGCGUUAUCCGGAUUUAUGGGGUUUAAAGGGAGCGCAGGUGGAUGGUUAAGUCAGUUGUGAAGGUUUGCGGCUCAACCGUAAAAUUGCAGUGGAAACUGGCAGUCUGGAGUACAGUAGAGGUGGGCGGAAUUCGUGGUGUAGCGGUGAAAUGCUUAGAUAUCACGAAGAACUCCGAUGGCGAAGGCAGCUCACUGGACUGCAACUGACACUGAGGCUCGAAAGUGUGGGGAUCAAACAGGAUUAGAUACCCUUGUAGUC
rnacentral:rRNA from 1 species